ensembl:lncRNA
CUCCAAAAUAGCCCGGGAGUCACUGCCCCAGAUUGGGUCUCACCCCUGGCCCCAGGGAGGCAGCGGGCAGAGGCUCAGGGCUGCUGGGGGAGGGGGGCCUGUGUGUGCCCGUGAUGUGUGCCCCCUGCUUGUGGGGACCCCUCAGACCAGCAUCCGGGAGCGCAGGGAGGGACAGAAAAAGGGGGAUCCAGGACCACUCAUAGGAGGACCCAGGACCACCACCCAGAGGGGAGCAGAGCCACCCCAAGAUGACCACUCACCAGAGAAUGCUGCAACCUUUAGGUUGAGAUGAGCAGCUGUGAGCCUAGCACAGGUGCCCAAGAUGCUACAAGUUCAACAUGAAGCUGCUCUGAGGACCAGCCUGACUCCACACUGCUUGCAGACAAGUCCCUGGUUACCAGCUACAAUCAACGGAUCCAUACACCGCUGUGCACUCGAAAGAUGCCUUCUCUCCUGGGUAUUCUCCAUCUCUGCAGGGAAGAUGCCUAGCACCCAAGCAAUGUAUUUUUCAACAAUCCACAUACUUGUUGCACCCCGUGAAACCCCCGUCGGUCACCCUCAUCAUCUUUGGCAGAGAGAAUGGAUAACUGUCACCCACCAGGACCUCUUUGACUAAAUCAUCUACCUAUCGAUCUGGAGGGACCGUAUGCCUCAAGGAUCCUGGACCCUGUCUUCUUCAGCUAGCCUGAGACUCUGGUACCAACAUUCCCAUGAGCAGAGGAAUAAAUGCGAAACCAAGUGGGUCCCCCGGGUGUCUCCAAUGUUACCACGUACAAGUCUUGUGUGAUCAUGUCAAAAGUCUGUGCUUUCAGUGCAGUUGUGAAGAUGGAAGUCGUAUAUUCUGGGGAGAAAGAGGGUUUUAUUUCCCUUCUGAACAUUUUAAAGGGAAAACAUUUAUGAUGUUUGAUCAGCUUAUGAAUAACACAGAUGAAGGAAAUGCAAACUCUCAUCAUAUGGAAAACAAACACACAUAAUAACACUUCUUAGUGUUUCGUAUCAAGAGUUUAUUGGAUCUUGCCCCCCCCAAAAUUUUUUUUUUUAAUUUUACAGCAGAAACCUGAGGCUCAGAGAAGCUAGAACUUUGUUUAGGUUUAUACAACUGACCGUGCUUAACCAAGUUUCUCCUGAGAAUAAACGACAAAGUCUGUAAAACCAGGGAGAUGUAACAGCUCAAUGCAUCACCACAGCCUGCAUAACAUCCUGGAACAAAAAGGGGACAUUAAUGGGAAAGCUGGUGAAAUCCAAAU